UACAGAGGGUGCGAGCGUUGUUCGGAAUUAUUGGGCGUAAAGGGCGCGUAGGCGGUGCGGUAAGUCACCUGUGAAAUCUCCUGGCUCAACUGGGAGCUUGCAGGCGAAACUGCCGUGCUGGAGUGUGGGAGAGGUGCGUGGAAUUCCCGGUGUAGCGGUGAAAUGCGUAGAUAUCUGGAGGAACACCGGUGGCGAAGGCGGCAUCCUGGACCGACACUGACGCUGAGGAGCGAAAGCCAGGGGAGCAAACGGG
rnacentral:rRNA from 1 species